AGAGUUUGAUCAUGGCUCAGGAUGAACGCUGGCGGCACGUCUGACACAUGCAAGUCGAACGGUAAGCCGUCCUUCGGGAUGGCCUAGAGUGGCGAACGGCUGAGUAACACGUAGGAACCUACCCCUCAGUCCGGGAUAACGGCCCGAAAGGGUCGCUAAUACCGGAUAAUACAGAAAUGUUGAAAGGUUUACUGCUGAGGGAGGGGCCUGCGGGCUAUUAGCUAGUUGGUGAGGUAACGGCUCACCAAGGCGAUGAUGGCUAGCUGGUCUGAGAGGAUGAUCAGCCAGACUGGGACUGAGACACGGCCCAGACUCCUACGGGAGGCAGCAGUUCAGAAUCUUGCACAAUGGGCGAAAGCCUGAUGCAGCGAUGCCGCGUGGGUGAAGAAGGCCUUCGGGUCGUAAAGCCCUGUCAGGGGGAAAGAUAAUGACGGUACCCCCAAAGGAAGCCACGGCUAAUUACGUGCCAGCAGCCGCGGUAAUACGUAAGUGGCGAGCGUUAUCCGGAAUUACUGGGCGUAAAGCGUGCGUAGGCGGCGUGGUAAGUUGGAAUUGAAAGCCCGGGGCUCAACUCCGGAUCCGGUUCCAAAACUGCCAUGCUAGAGCGUAUCAGAGGACAGCGGAAUUCCCGGUGUAGCGGUAAUAUGCGUAGAUAUCGGGAGGAACACCAGUGGCGAAGGCGGCUGUCUGGGGUAUUGCU
rnacentral:rRNA from 1 species